UACGAAGGGUGCAAACGUUGCUCGGAAUUAUUGGGCGUAAAGCGCACGUAGGCGGCUUAGCAAGUCGGAAGUAAAUCCCACGGCUCAACCAUGGAAGUGCUUUCGAAACUGCUGAGCUUGAGUACGAAAGAGGAUCGCGGAAUUCCCGGUGUAGAGGUGAAAUUCGUAGAUAUCGGGAGGAACACCAGUGGCGAAGGCGGCGAUCUGGGUCGAUACUGACGCUGAGGUGCGAAAGCGUGGGGAGCAAACAGG
rnacentral:rRNA from 1 species